rnacentral:rRNA from 2 species
CACACGACUCUCGGCAACGGAUAUCUCGGCUCUCGCAUCGAUGAAGAACGUAGCGAAAUGCGAUACCUGGUGUGAAUUGCAGAAUCCCGCGAACCAUCGAGCCUUUGAACGCAAGUUGCGCCCGAGGCCACUCGGCCGAGGGCACGCCUGCCUGGGCGUCACGC